UUGCAUAAUAAGUGACGUGCUUCCUCCUCCUCCUGUCAAUCACUGUGAUGUUGAGUGUGGUAUUAAAUUGCUCCUCCUGCACCUCCUCUGGUCAUCCUCCACAGCCUCUAAUGUGUCAGCAGUAAGUUUCCACGUUCCAAGUCCAUUGUGAGCACACAGUGACAACAUGCUGGGGAGCCUCUGCACUCUCAUCACUGCUCUAACAUGUGUCAGUGGUGUGACCGUGGUGACACAGAAGCCUGCUGUUGUCACGGUGACCACAGGAAACACAGCCACCAUGGACUGUAACCUGGGAACUGUUACUAAUAGUGCAGCUCGCUGGUACAAACAGAUUCCAGGAGGAGUUCCUCAGUUUGUGUUGGUGAAUUAUCAUGGUUGGAGCUCUCCAACUUAUGGUUCUGGUUUCUCAUCUUCCAAAUUCACUUCUACUCAUCAGUCAAAGUCAGAUUAUCGUUUGAUCAUCAACAGUGUGGAGCAGUCAGACUCAGCUGUGUAUUACUGUCAAACGUGGGACAGCUCUGUUAAUGAACACGUAUCACAGUGAUUCACGCUGUGACAAAAACCUCCUCACUAAAUACUUCUGCUUUUU